rnacentral:piRNA from 1 species
UACUUAUGUAUAGUAAGUCUUUGUGCCUG